rfam:Camelus ferus unplaced genomic scaffold scaffold118, whole genome shotgun sequence.
GAGGAUAUAGCUCAAGUGUUAGCGCGCGUGCUUAGUAUACACAAGGUCCUGGGUUCAAUCCCCAGUACCUCCU